AGCUAGUACGUAUAAGUCUGCUUCUCAAUAACUUCAAUUUUUCAGUUGCAUUGCUUUGUAGUGUGCACCAUUUCCAUAUAUAUGAUCUGUACAUUACCAGCCGGCCUUGGCUCUAUCUCCUAUUUCUUAACCUAGUUCUCUUCUUCUGAACCUCUUUAACUUUUUUUUUUCCCUCAUAUAUUCCUUAAUUAUUUCUUCUAUAGACCUCCUCCAUUUUGCAACCUAGUCUAGACCGCACCAGCUUUCAGUUGCGAUUCCAUUAAUGAAUUGGAAAUUUAUUUAAUUUCUUCUUUCUGUUUUAGAAAAGCGGGAUCCUAUUCCUAUGUCCUAACGAACCCCAUUGGGAUGGGGAAAAGAUUUACAUUACUGGCCGUCUUUUUGAAAACUAAGCUCCCAUCUAGCCAUAGAUUUGCCUUUUUCUUUUGAAAAUGUAUUGGUGGUGAAAAAGAACUGCAUGGAUAUUAGACCGCUGACGUAGUAUGACGCGUGAAACAAUAAUGCAGCGACACGCAGCACUCUUAUUUGAUGGAAAAAGAAAAGGCAUGGGGAGAAAUACCCACGAGACGGCACCAGGCCUAACAACUGGCAAAAAAAUGAAUAAAUAGUAGAAAGAAGCAAAAAUACAUUGACCGGAAAGAAAUAAGGAAGGGGAAUCGUAACAGAUGUAAGGUAUUUAUAGUAAUAAAUGCAUCGGUUAUGAGAAUCCAAAAUAAUGAGCAAUCAAUAUCAUUAAUGCCUAUAAUUAGCCCAAAUUAUGGGUAAAAAACCGUUACUAUUUUAUAUUCUUAUAUAUGGGCGCCAAAUAUUUGUAAGGACA
rnacentral:lncRNA from 1 species